rnacentral:tRNA from 1 species
AGGGAUUUAGUUUAUUAAAAUACAGCUCUGAAGAGGCUGAGUCCUAUUCCCUU